CCCAGUGGUAGGCAGCUUGCCAAGUUGCUGUGUACCUAGGCAAGUGUUCAUUACUGGAAAAAAAGCAUCCAGUAGCUGGUGGGCAUGCUGGACCCAGUUAAUGACAAACGUGUUAAUUAUACCAGUAUGCCAACAUA
rnacentral:snoRNA from 1 species